UGCAGUAAACCUCCGGACACGCUGUGGCUGUCUUCAGGGACAGGCCUCUCAGCUGGACUAGUUUUCCCCAGCGGGAGCACAGUGCUUUGCUCCCCUCCACUCGUUCUUUGUUUCUGCCCAGCAUCCCCUUUGUGGGAUCAAGGGCCUGGCGGAGGAGGAGAAAACAUUCAGGAAGUGCUUAGUACUUAGAAGCCACACGUGAUUGGUGCUGCUGCCCUGACAGUGCAGCCGAACCUCGUCCUAGGAUAGCUUGCUGGCCAGUGCUAGGCCAGGCCCGUUGGUGACAUUUGACAUGAAUUCAUUCAUUCCCGUUCCUGAAGGCACUGAAGAGGCCAAGGGGGCCUGCAAAGAGCCAGCUCCUUCUGAUGUUAGCAGCACAGUCAUAGAAGUCACAGGACUAAGCAGAGAAAACAGAAAAGACAAAGGGAGAUUAAAGAUGUUUCUUCUGUUGAUUACCCUGCAUUUACACUUGAGGUACUGCACACUGGAAUGGACAAGGAACCGUUUUCAAGGUUUGACACUUGGUAGUGUGCCACAAAGCAUGUAAACAGAAUUUUGCCUCGAUGUGGGCUUCUGGAAGGGCAAAUGCAAGUGAGGAGACAUUUGCUGGAAACCCAAGAAUCUGAGACUUUAACGAGCAAAAUGCUCAGUGUUUACACAGUCGUCUUCAAUUUACACAGACUGCUUCAGGGGUGGUCUGAGAGGUGGGUGGGGCUACCAGCAGGGCAGUGAGGGCUGAGCAGACUCAGAUCUGAUACCCUAGACGCAGCAGCUGUCCUUCCUUAGUGUCUGUUUCCUGGUAGGUUAUCAAGGCUGCAUAUAACAGAUCCAUACCCAAGCUCAUCUGCAGGGGCCAAAGCAGGACAGGCAGCAGGAGGCCAUCUGGGGUCAGUGACAUAAAAGUUUAGGGCUAUGCCUGUCCUGCCCAGAGCAGCAAAGAGGAAAUCCUGAGCUCAGUGUCACAUACAGAGAGAAAGCUGCCGAGUGCGGCAGGCACACGCUGGUGUGACCUCUGGAGACUCGGUGGCCCACCCUUUGUGUGUCCUCUCGCUGGGUGCCAGCGACCUGCCUCUGAGCAGCAGAAGAUGGCAAGGGCUCCCACGUGACUCCCUCGACAGGGCUGCACUGUGUGACAAAGGCUGCUGACGCUGCUGUGCGGUAGAUGUCACUCCCUCGAUUAGGUCACUUAGUGAGAGGAGACAGACUGUCCCUGCAUUGAUCUGAAGAAGCUCAUGUGUGAGGAGCCCAAAGCCAGGACACGUGGGUUCCUCCUUAGAGCUGAGUGACAACAGUCUCGGAAUGACACAGACAAGAGAACAUGAGUUCCGCCAAUUCUGCAGCAAGCCUGAAGAGAUUCCUCCUUUGUCAAGUAUCUCUUACUCCCUGCUCCACCCCAACACCGGUUACAAGCACGUCUUUAUGUGUCUCUCCAAAGACCCGGCACUAUGUCAGCCACAGCGCUGGACCUGGACCUGAAGAUUCAGCUGCGCUCCAUGAAGACAUGACCACGUGAUCUUCCUUUGUGAUUUUUUUUGGCAUCUACGUUAUGUGUAGCCUGGCCUGGCACAUAGCUGUCACCAACAGAUGAUCACUGGAUGAGAAGCUCUCUCUUGCCAAGAUGAUGUAAGUUUUAUUCUUCUGUUCCAUUCCAUUGUCUCCUGUUCUCAGAAGUAAGCCUUCUCCAAACACGCCUUCAGAAUACGUCAUUCUGACUUGUUACAAAUGAAGCCCCUGCCCGGCUGAGCGAGUACCCGGUGGGGGAGGCGGCUGCAGAGCUGGUUUCUCUAGCUGGUUCUUUGCAGCCGGGAACUGUAAAGUGGUGGAGGUCUGUCUACUGCAGCAAUCGCUCGUCUUUGAACCUCAUGUUUUCUUCUCCCAAAACUCUGUCAUGGUCACUUUUGAACUAAAUAAUGACUGUGAUUCAGUCAAAAAAAAACAAACUCGGCACUCACUGGGUACACAGCGCACACUGGUUGCUGCUUUCAUGGAUUUUCGUGUUAGGAAAGAAAAUGCACGACAAGGAAGGGCAGAUGUCAUAAACAUGCCGAGAAGUGCCGUCAUCCCACCACCAGUUUUUAAGGCUGUGUGUCUUUCCCGGAGGUGGGAGGUGACAAGCUGGUUCUAUAGAGGAGGAGUUUCCAUUGCAAACUAGAUCCUGCAUCAUUCUUUACAAAGCCCUGAUUUCAAUGACUGGGCUGACAGAGCAAAGAAGGACAAAUACUUUAAUUGUUCCGAUAAUGAUAAAAAUGUUUACCGUGUUGGCUAAUUUUCUGUCCACUUGACAUGGGCUAGAGUCCCCUGAGAGGAAGGAACCCCAGUUGAGAAAUUACCUCCAUAAGAUCUGGCUGUAGGCAGGCCUGUAGGGCAUUUUCUUGAUUGAUGGGGGAGGGCCCAGCCCACUGCAGGUGGGGCCAUCCCUGGCUGGUGGUCCUGGGUUCUGUAAGAAAGCAGGCUGAGGAAGCCAUGGGAGCAAGCCAUAAGCAGCACCUUACAUGGCCUCUGCAUCAGCUCCUGCCUGUGAGUUCCUGCCCUGUUUGAGUUCCUGUCCUCACUGCCUUUGAUGAUCUAUUAUGUGGAAUCGUGAGCGAAAUAAACUCUUUCCUUCUCAACUUGCUUUUGGUCACAGUGUCUCCUCACAGCAAGCCCAGUCCUAACUAAGACACUUACAGUCUUCUGUAAGCACACAGGGCAAUUUCAAAAGAUGAACUUUCUCUAUUCUACCAUGACUCUCAGUUUUGGAGCAGGAAAACAGGAUUGUAACUUUCUGUCUCUAAAACAUUUUUUUAAUAAUUAGGCAAUACUAAUUGGGAGAAUAUGGCUACAGUGUGUAAGCUGAUGUGUGACAGCAAACCUCUUCUAUUCCAGUGCUCACAAGUAAGAAAAAAAACAGCUUUAAAAAAAACACUAGCAGCAAGCGCUGUGACCCACAGAGUCAGCCAUUUAUGGUGUUGCAGAUCCAGAGCAGUGACUCAUGGCCAUGAGUAUUUGCAGGCAAGGUGACUUGCAGCUUUCAGUGCCUUUGCGACCACUGCAUCUGUGAUGGAGGAGAGGGAAGGAUGGAGGACCGGAGCAGCAUGUGUGAGGUGGAGAGAGGCUGAACCUCCUCAGAUGUCUGAGGCCUGAGCCAUUGCUGGAGGCCAUGUUCAUGGGCACAGCUGUGCUUCUGCCUGGGGCCUUGUUGAUGCCCCUGGUCCCUGCUACCCCAGGGGCUAUGUCUGAGUCCACUGUCAUCUUGGCUGGAAUACAAGGGUCAAGAGGGAGGCGGGGCAGAGCCCUCCACACCCCCCACCCCACGUCUCAGUAGGAUCAGUGCCUCAGCCCCAGACAGCAGGUCAGCUUGCUCACUCUCCUCCAGGGGACCACCUGUGUCUGCUGGCUUGUUGGGAUUUCUGCGUUCUUUAGAGUUUCUCUCCUCCUUCCUCGUUAGUUUCCUAUGUCUCCUGUCCUAAACAGUCUUCACAUUAAACUUCUCUGCUCAAACUAUGACGCAGCUUUACUCUUGUGUUUGGGCUGAUGCAACACUCAAGGUGGAAAAGGGUGGGCGUAAUGUGUGCUGAGUGUAAUAUGUACUAAAACGUGCACAGCAGUGUUCACAGAGGCCCCAUAACCGCCGUCUCCGCCGCUUUUCAGCUGCUCGACAGCACAACCGACAAGAGCA